UUUCCUGUGUCCUAGGAAACAUUUUUUAUUUGGUACAUGUUUUCUUAACCAUAUUUGACUUUUUUUCCUAAAAUGACACGUUGACAUAAGUAUACUCCAGGCCUCAAUUCUUAGUAGCAGGGAUUUAGGAUAGUAAAAAGAUGGGUAACAUUCUAGUAGUUUUUAUCUUAAUCAUCUGCCAGCAGUUAGAAAAUAUCAUUUUAUGAAUUGCUUUUCUCAUCAAAUGGUAUACAAAUCAUUCUCUACUACCCAUUUAGAGCAGCCUGGGAGGUUUUCAGUUUGAUUUGUUCUGUUACCAACACAAGAUGGCCAGAUACCGUUGCAUUGAAGGCCAAAAUAGGAAUUCAUAAAAUUCUGUUACAAGUUCUUAAAACCAUUCAUAGCAUGCAGGUUUUGUAGACUGUCUCCACACUGAAACUAAUGCCUGAUUCAUGGACAUAAAGGGACCAAGUAAACAGAAUUAGUGAUUUUAAUUUUUGUUUUUAACAGAAGAGUCUCUUAUGUACUCAUAUGUCGGGUUGGCCUGUCAAGUGAGUUUGCUUUGUGAAAGGAUUAAUUUCGUUGGCUGUGUAGCCUUUAUGUAGUCAGCAAACUGAGGAAUCCUCUAGCAUUUUUAAGAGGUGGCAAUUUUAGUUAUGGAGAAAGAAACCAAUAAAGGUAAUAAUGCAUGGAAGAGGAGGUAGAUACAGGUUUUUUUUUUUGUUUGUUUUAUUUAUUUUUGUGUAGGGUCUCACUGUGUUAUCCAGGGUGGUUUAGAACUCAAAACUCAAGUAAGCCUUUUGAGUAGCUGGGACCACAGGUGUGAUCUACCAUACCCAGCAGGUGUUUAGAUCCCUAUCAAAAUUGUAAGGUAGGCAACCAGGGAAGACUGCAGAAAGUGCCUGGUCCCUCCCAUGACCUAGAAUUGUGGGCUGGAAAGUUUGGGAGUUUCCCUUGAAGUUUCAGUGCUUGAUUUAGUCAUCUUUCAGGAUCAUUUAAGUAAAAACUUUACCGUCAUAACUUGAAUGCAACUAAUUUGUGUUAAUUACAGGUCCUGUGGUAUUUUGUCUUAAAAUGAAGUUUUAACCCCGAAAUUUUCUAAAAUAGUAGGUGUACUAAUAAAUGAGUGAUAUCCUUGCUUGUGUUGUGAAAUGUGUGGCUUGGAAAGCAGAUUUCUAGUGUUAUAUUUUGUUGCUUAUAGGAAGAUGAGAAAGAACUUUGAGGGGUUUUGUUUGUUUUUUGGUACUGUGAUUGAACCCAGGGGUGCUGAACCACUGAGCCACAUCCCUAACUGCUUUUUAUAUUUUAUUAGAGACAGUUUCACUGAGUUGCAUAGUGCCUUGCUAAGUUGCCUAGGUUGGCUUUGAACUGGAGAUCCUCCUACCUUAUCCUCCUGAGCCUCUGGGAUUGUUUGUAUCUUUUUUUUUUUCCCCAAGAAUUCAGCCUUUCUUUCUUUCUUUCUUCAUUCAUUCAUUCAUUCAUUUUGUGUGUGUGUGUGUGUGUGUUGCUGAAGAUUAACCCAAGUGCCACGUAUGUGGUAGGCAAGUGCUCUACCACUGACUUACAGGCCCAGCCCUCCUCUCUUGUUUGAGACAGGGGUCUCAGUUGCUUAGGGCCUCCCUAAAUUGCUGAGGCUCACCUUGAACUUGAGAUCCUCCUGGCUCAGCCUCCCAAACUGCUGGGAUUAUAGGCAACUGCUGAGUUGAAUGGGGAAAUUUGUGGAAUAAGUCAACAAUUUAACUUGAUUUCCACAGACAUGCCAACCUUGUUAUAAGAUCCUUAGAGUUCUUAAGUUAGCUGUUCUGAUUCUAGGAUAGUAGACAAGCAUACUGAAGAAUUGGGAUGAAGAAGACCCCUUUUGUUUUGAAAACUAAUAACUGUUAGGUUGUUAAAGGGAUCCUAUGCAAGCACCUUUAGAAAAGUGAUCCCCAGUUCUAACCUGAAUCAGGAAAUCAAAUCCGAUCUUUUCUAAAAUUUCAUUGAGUUUUACUAGGCUCGUAAUUGAUACAACUAAUACUUUGACAUUGAAUGUCAGCUGUGUACCAGGUAGGAAUCUAGCACAUAGCAUAGAAAUGAUCAGAUGAGGGGCUGCAGUUGUGGCUAAAUGGUAGAGUGCUUACCUAGCAUGUGUGAGGCACUGGGUUCAGUCCUCAGCACCACAUAAAAAUAAAGGUAUUGUGACCAUCUGCAACCCCCCCGCCAAAAAAAAAAAGAUGUUGCCUCUGGUUUGCAGAUAGGAAAGCUGAAUAGGAGAAAAAAACUUGCCCAAAGCAAUGGAGAUAACGAUUCAGUUUUUGUAUGACUAAUGACUAAAGAGCCUGUGUUCAACCAUUGAGCCAUUUGUUUUAUUUAGAUACAGCGUCUUGGUACCUUGCUAAGUUGCUGAGGCUGGCUUUGAACUUGUGAUCCUCCUGCCUCAGCCUCCUAAAAUGCUGGGAUUAUGGGUGUGUACCACCAUACCUCUCCUGAGCUUUUCUUUUUCAAAAUUCUGUUUUGUUGAAACAUUUUAGUCUAGUCUUUUAUCAAAACUCAGUGUUUUGUUGAAACAUUUAAAUCUAGAGUGAUCAUUAAAAUAUUUUAACAUUUCUGAAACA
rnacentral:lncRNA from 1 species